UACCAUCCUGUUGUCGCGGCUGAGGGCCU
rnacentral:piRNA from 1 species